AUCAUAGAGGAACAUCCACUU
rnacentral:miRNA from 2 species